rnacentral:rRNA from 1 species
AUGGUUAUAGCAUAAGAGAUUUUAGAAUAAAUUAACAAAACAUUUAUUUUUAGUAAAGGUGAUUAAAGUUACUAAUUUGAUAAAAGUACUGUGAAGGAAUAUAUUAUAAAUUUUUAUUAAGUAGCAAAUAUUGCGUACCUUUUGCAUUAUUGCUUCACAAGAAUAUAUGAAAUUAUAUGUUCAAAACUAGAAAUCUAAUGAGCUACUUUAAUUUUGAAUAAUAGUUCGUAAUACCAUGAAUAUAGCAAAAUUCUGUUUAAAGAUUAAAGUUGCAGUGAAAUUCUAUUCGCAUUAGAUGAUAGCUAGUUCUUUUAAAAAUACAUAUAAGUGUAGUUAUCUAUAUUUAUUUUUUUAACUUUUUAAAAAUUUUUAGUAGAUAAACUGUAUAUUUAAGGAUAAGCUUAAAUAUACCUCAUAAAUGUAAGGUCAAAAUUUAUUUUUAGGCUUGAAAUCAGCCACGGCUAAUAAAAUCGUUAUAGGUUAUUAUUAUAUAUUGACUUUAAUAUUUCUAUUUGUCACCAUAAAAGCAAAUGGUUAAAUUUUUAAAUCAUUAUGUUUAUGUUAAGAUGAGUAUUUAAUAUAUUUAAUUACUUAUAAAUUUAAAAUUUUAAGUAUUAAUAAGUUUGUAAAAAUAUAAAAUCAAUUAGAGGAACUCGGCAAAUAAUAACUUCGCCUGUUUAGCAAAAACAUGGCUCUUUGUUCAUGAACUUAUAAAGAGUCUAGCCUGCCCAGUGAAAAUUUUUAACGGCCGCGGUACUCUGACCGUGCAAAGGUAGCAUAAUCACUUGCCUUAUAAUUGAAGGCUAGUAUGAAAGGUUUGACGAAAGUUAAGCUGUCUUUUUUUGAAUAAAAUGAAAUUAACUUACAGGUGCAAAGGCCUGUAUCUAACUAAAAGACAAGAAGACCCUAUUGAGCUUUAUAAAAAUAUAAUAGUAUAUGAUAUAUAAAUAAGAUUUUAAUCUAUUAAAAUUUUUAGUUGGGGCGACUUAGGAAUAAUAGUAACUUCCUAGAAUUAAAAACACUUAAUAAGUUUUUUUAUCCAAAAGAUCUUGAUUAUCAGAAUUAGUUACCAUAGGGAUAACAGCAUAAUCUUUCUUAGGAGCUCUAAUCGAAAGAAAGGAUUGUGACCUCGAUGUUGGACUAGAAUAUCCUAAAGGUGCAGAAGUUUUUAAGGGUUAGUCUGUUCGACUAUUAAAAUUCU